AGUGAACGCUGGCGGCAGGCCUAAUACAUGCAAGUCGAACGGCAGCACAGCAGAGCUUGCUCUGUGGGUGGCGAGUGGCGGACGGGUGAGGAAUACAUGGGAAUCUGCCCAGUCGUGGGGGAUAACGUAUGGAAACGUACGCUAAUACCGCAUGCGCCCUACGGGGGAAAGUCGGGGACCGCAAGGCCUGACGCGAUUGGAUGAGCCCAUGUUCGAUUAGCUAGUUGGCGGGGUAAAGGCCCACCAAGGCGACGAUCGAUAGCUGGUCUGAGAGGAUGAUCAGCCACACUGGAACUGAGACACGGUCCAGACUCCUACGGGGAGGCAGCAGUAGGGGAAUAUUGGACAAUGGGGGCAACCCUGAUCCAGCCAUGCCGCGUGAGUGAAGAAGGCCCUCGGGUUGUAAAGCUCUUUUGUCCGGAAGAAAGCAUCUGGUUAAUACCCGGGUGUUCUGACGGUACCGGAAGAAUAAGCACCGGCUAACUUCGUGCC
rnacentral:rRNA from 1 species